CAUUUCAACUAAAAAUUCUUUAAAUUGGCGAUGAUUAAGAGCUUUAGCUAUAAUGGAGUUGAUAAUCUUAAUCACCAAUUCCAUAACUUUGCAAAUUUCUUCUGGAAAUGUCUGCGCACAAAGCACUUCUUGAUGAAUGAUGUAAUGAUAAAUGGCAGGACAGAUGA